rnacentral:lncRNA from 1 species
UUCUCCAUGUCACGUGGCAUGUCGGACACCUUGGGGAGCCUCAGCACGCCCUCCACGCCGCCCGCCGGCGGCGGCGCCGGCGCCGCUGGCGGCGGCGGCUUCUCCACGCCGCCGCCCGCCAGUCGCGCCGCCAGCGGCCUAGGCCUAGGCGCGGCUGGCGGCGCCACGCCGAGCGGCGGCGGCGGCGGCGGCGGCCGCCGGCUCUCGGAUUCCAACCCCGCGGUCGGCAGUAGCGCCGCCGCUGUGCCUGUGUGCAGCGAGUACAGCGCGCAGGUGGCUGAGAAGCUGUACGCCUGCGCGCACCACGCGCUGUCCUUCCUGGCCGCCACCUCGCCGCAGCUGAGCGAGGGAGAGGCGGCGUCGCUGGGGCCCGCCUGGCCGCGGCCGCGAGACCUGGCGGCCCUGCUAGACCAGUGCCGCGCCGCCGCAGAGUCGUUGACCAACUACCAACCGCCGGCGGCCGGUGAUGACGGCGCGGGCCCCUCCACGCCCUCCUUCUUUGGCGGCGCUUCGGCGUCAGGGGCGUCAGCGGGUGGCGGCGGCGGUGGCGGCGGCGGCGGCGGCGCGGGCGCUGCGCGCCGCUCGGCGGCGGUGCGCACGCUAUCUCGUGUGGGGCAGAUGUGCGCUCAGUUCUUGUCGCUGUUGGGGCAGGCGGCGCCGCCACACCCGCCGCCGCCGCCGCCGGGCGCGGGCGGCGCGCACCACGUACACUCGCACCAUUCGCACCACCACUCGUACCACCACCUGCACUCGGGUCUGGGGCAGCGCGAGGCGGCGGCGCAGGAUUGGUUCGCGUCGUUGGAGCUGAGCGGCGGGUUGGGCAUGGGCACGCCGGCUGUGCCAGCCAUUUAACAAUGACGACGAAGUGGGGGAAGCGGUGAUGCCGUGGGUAGGCUCCAGCGGACUUGAAGUGCCAGGUGUAGCUGAUGGCAUGCUUUCAGGUGGUUUGGAAAAGUAUGGGCCUUGGGCGCGCGUGGUCCUUUGGCGAUUCGGACAGGGCUGGUACUGCCACCCGGCUGGGGCAAGGAGAAGUGGUAAGGAGACUAAGCACAGAUGCUCGCGUCGCGGGGAGUGGUGGUGGCGGAAUUCGGUUUGCACAAGGCUCGCGCGUAUGGUGUGCCCCCCGAUGCUCCGAUCAUGCAGUUGCGCUGCAAACAAACAAUUGCCUCUCAAAUAUGCAACAUAGGUACUUAAGUAUUGCUCGCUCUCGUGGGCGUUACCUCGUUACUCAGAGAACCAACCCUUGCACCCCGCGUUUUCCCCAAAUCUGCCUGAAAGCAAAUUGACGCAAUAGGUCUCACUCAGUAUCUGCUAGGUCUGUCAUCCCGGUGGUUAGGAGCCCCCACUGUUGUAAGCCUAGCGAGGGCGAACCAGGCGCAGCGACAGCACGCGAGCUCGGUGGAGACUGGAAACCUACGCAAGCAUUUGUGGGCCUACGGGCAUCAUCGCUCGGAGGAGGCGAGUGUUGUUCGCGGCGUUCGGUCGGGGCGUUCUCGGGGGUGUUUUGGGGCGUUCUGGCGGCGUUCUUAGUCCAGGCAAUAUGGUCCUAACACAACGAGGCCGGUUUCAUCGCUCGUAGGGCGCGGACUCCCAGCGGCGCGGGCCAUGGCGCUCGCGCCCGUGCAGCCCAUGGCAUUCACUGGCAGCCGGCGAAGUUGUGGUGAGUGGUUCGGGUCUUGCGGCAGAGCUUAAGAAGAUGCCAGCGAAGCGCGGGGCCCGCGAGGCGCGGAAGGGCCGACGGAUCGCGAGCCAGGUCCUGACACAAAGGGACCGGCCCCGACGGCCGACGCCGCGCCGUGCCACACAGCAGCUGCUGAAGGCCUGCCCCUCGCCGCGCACGGCGCUCGUCGCGUGACGGCCGCUCGCGUUGGCGGCGGAGGUGUGGACGCUUCAUUCCGGAGGCCCGGCGUGCUGCUUCAUGCUUGCAAGCCCGGCGUGCAAACCACUCACACACUGCUGGGCCCUCCUCUCCCAUGACCCAGCGGCAUUCUUAGGUGGUGUCGGUGCAGCUGGCGGCCGCUCUGUCCGAGGAGGCCAGCAGCCCUCAUCCUUCGGAGGUAUGUACGCGGGUGAGGGGCAGGGAGGGCAGGGCUGCCAUCAAUCACGUACGUGCGCAUGGUGCCGACCACACUACAACAGUACUGUAGUAGCAUUUCUUGAGUACUACUCGCUCUUCACCCUGACUCCGGCAGGUCUGCGCCGCGCCUGCCGGCGGGCUGGUGCGGAGUUCCGGCAUGGUGGCGGUGGUGGCGGCGGCACUGCUGGUGAUGAGCCGGAGUACCGCCGCAAUGGCGAGCCUGGCGGCAACGUUGGCAAGCACGAGCGCGACCGUGGACAGCCCCAUCCCAGCAGCGGCCACCUGGCGCAUGAGGACGUGCGCGCCGCCGCCGGUGCACAGGCGGCGCCGCCGGUGCGGGACAGCCCGCGUCAGGUGGGUGGCUUAGUUGGUGGGGGCUUUGUGGGCGGGGUGUUAUCGACCUAUCUACCGGUACCUAUGAUC